UACGUAGGUGGCAAGCGUUGUCCGGAAUUAUUGGGCGUAAAGCGCGCGCAGGCGGCCUUUUAAGUCUGAUGUGAAAGCCCACGGCUCAACCGUGGAAGGUCAUUGGAAACUGAAAGGCUUGAGUACAGAAGAGGAAAGCGGAAUUCCACGGUGUAGCGGUGAAUGCGUAGAGAUGUGGAGGAACACCAGUGGCGAAGGCGCUUUCUGGUCUGUAACUGACGCUGAGGCGCGAAAGCGUGGGGAGCAAACAGG
rnacentral:rRNA from 1 species